UACAGAGGGGGCAAGCGUUGUUCGGAAUUACUGGGCGUAAAGGGCGCGUAGGCGGCCUUCUAAGUCGAACGUGAAAUCCCCGGGCUCAACCCGGGAACUGCGUCCGAUACUGGAAGGCUUGAAUCCGGGGGAGGGAUGUGGAAUUCCAGGUGUAGCGGUGAAAUGCGUAGAUAUCUGGAGGAACACCGGUGGCGAAGGCGACAUCCUGGACCGGUAUUGACGCUGAGGCGCGAAAGCCAGGGGAGCAAACGGG
rnacentral:rRNA from 1 species